UACACUCCUGCGGGAGGCAGCAGUGGGGAAUUUUGGACAAUGGGCGAAAGCCUGAUCCAGCAAUGCCGCGUGUGUGAAGAAGGCCUUCGGGUUGUAAAGCACUUUUGUCCGGAAAGAAAUCCUUGGCUCUAAUACAGUCGGGGGAUGACGGUACCGGAAGAAUAAGCACCGGCUAACUACGUGCCAGCAGCCGCGGUAAUACGUAGGGUGCGAGCGUUAAUCGGAAUUACUGGGCGUAAAGCGUGCGCAGGCGGUUUGCUAAGACCGAUGUGAAAUCCCCGGGCUCAACCUGGGAACUGCAUUGGUGACUGGCAGGCUAGAGUAUGGCAGAGGGGGGUAGAAUUCCACGUGUAGCAGUGAAAUGCGUAGAGAUGUGGAGGAAUACCGAUGGCGAAGGCAGCCCCCUGGGCCAAUACUGACGCUCAUGCACGAAAGCGUGGGGAGCAAACAGGAUUAGAAACCCUAGUAGUCCC
rnacentral:rRNA from 1 species